UGAAGCUGUCACGAGAUGUCACUUGUCAUAU
rnacentral:piRNA from 1 species